UUUAUGGCAGUAGAGCCUACAAUUUACAGAUUGUACUCCAAGAGCAACAGGAUGUUUCUUUCACAACCGAUACUGCAACUCCCCACCCCAUCCGCCCUGCAAUCUCACCGGGGAAGGCCUUGUGCACGCACGCACACACCCACACAUCUAGUCUCGUUCCCAGUCGUGUGUCUUCACUACUACCGCAGUGUAACCCUUGCAGGCGAGGUUAAUACGCAACAGAAUCUGUUCAGUCCCACCGGAGAGAGCUGAGCCUUGGUUGAGUUAUAGAUACAGUGCGUGACGAGUGCCUACUUCUGUUCUGUGGAACACAGAGCUGCCUGCCAUACAGCAUCACAUUAGAUGGGAAACAAGCCCGCGCUCAAGGGAGAAGGGAGCACACUGAGAGUGGGGUUGGAGACAAGUGACCCAGUGGCCAGAGAGUAGAAGAGGAGAGGGGAUCGUGAGACUCACCCUGGCCUGAUGCUUGAUCAUCACUGGGUAGAGCGCCAGACAGAGUGAUGCUGAGCAGGGCGGGGCAGGACAGGAGAAGGAGUGUGAAGAAAGGGGGACGGAGGAAGAGGAGUGAUCAGAGGCGUGCAACUGUAGUUUUCCAUCACCAACGCAUCACCGGGGGCACACUGCCUGCCCUCCAGGACAUCUACAGCACCCGGUAUCACAGAAAGGUCAAGAAGAUCAUCAAGGACCUCAGCCACUGCCUGUUCACCCCACUACCAUCUAGAAGGUGAGGUCAGUACAGGUGCAUCAAAGCUGGGACGGAGAGACUGAAAGAAGCUGUUUAUCUCAAGGUCAUCAGACUGUUAAAUAGUCACCACUAGCUGGCCUCCACCCAGUACCCUGUCCUGAACUUCAGUCACUAGUCGGCUACCACCCUGUUACUCUACCCUGCACCUUAGAGGCUGCUGCCCUAUGUACAUUGUCAUGGAACACUGGUCACUUUAAUAAUGUUUACACACUGUUGUACCCA